AGGAUAUCGUGGGCAAUGGCCUUUUUUGCGGCUUAAUUUGACUCAACACGGGAAAAUUUACCAGGUCCAAACUUAUCGAGGUAAGACAGAUUGAUAGCUCUUUCUCAAAUUUAAGGGUAGUGGUGCAUGGCCGUUCUUAGUUCGUGGAAUGAUUUGUCUGGUUAAUUCCGAUAACGAACGUGACUCAAACAUGCUAACUAGAACGCUGUCAGCAGUGCGCCUCCGGGCGCACCUGACGUUACAGCCGGGCGGCGCCUUCACGGGCGGUCGUCGGCUACGUUUGCCCUGCUUAGCGGGACAACUUGUGUUUAGCAAGCUGAGAAUGAGCGAUAACAGGUCCGUGAUGCCCUUAGAUGUUCUGGGCUGCACGCGUGCUACAAUGUGGGUCGCAGCGUGUUCUCGCCAAUAGGCGCCCCCAUUCCGAGAGGAACGGGAAAUCACUAAAAUGCCCAUCUAGUCGGGAUUGGGGACUGCAACGGUCCCCAUGAACCUGGAAUUUCUAGUAAGCACUAGUCAUUAGCUAGUGCUGAUUACGUCCCUGCCCU
rnacentral:rRNA from 1 species